GGCGCACGGGUGCGUAACGCGUAUGCAACCUACCUUUUCCUGGGGGAUAGCCCGGAGAAAUCCGGAUUAAUACCGCAUAAGAUAGUACCUAGGCAUCUAGGAGUUAUUAAAGAUUAAUCGGGAAAAGAUGGGCAUGCGUCCGAUUAGCUAGUUGGUAGUGUAACGGACUACCAAGGCUAUGAUCGGUAGGGGUUCUGAGAGGAAGAUCCCCCACACUGGUACUGAGAUACGGACCAGACUCCUACGGGAGGCAGCAGUAGGGAAUAUUGGGCAAUGGAGGAGACUCUGACCCAGCCAUGCCGCGUGCAGGAAGAAGGCUUUCUGAGUUGUAAACUGCUUUUGUAAGGGAAGAAAAGGGAUUACGUGUAAUCUAAUCGACGGUACCUUAUGAAUAAGCACCGGCUAACUCCGUGCCAGCAGCCGCGG
rnacentral:rRNA from 1 species